rnacentral:rRNA from 1 species
ACAUGCAAGUCGAACGGUAACAGGAAGCAGCUUGCUGCUUCGCUGACGAGUGGCGGACGGGUGAGUAAUGUCUGGGAAACUGCCUGAUGGAGGGGGAUAACUACUGGAAACGGUGGCUAAUACCGCAUAACGUCGCAAGACCAAAGAGGGGGACCUUCGGGCCUCUUGCCAUCAGAUGUGCCCAGAUGGGAUUAGCUAGUUGGUGAGGUAACGGCUCACCAAGGCGACGAUCCCUAGCUGGUCUGAGAGGAUGACCAGCCACACUGGAACUGAGACACGGUCCAGACUCCUACGGGAGGCAGCAGUGGGGAAUAUUGCACAAUGGGCGCAAGCCUGAUGCAGCCAUGCCGCGUGUAUGAAGAAGGCCUUCGGGUUGUAAAGUACUUUCAGCGGGGAGG